AUGGCGACCGGCGCACGGGUGAGUAACACGUAUCCAACCUGCCGAUAACUCGGGGAUAGCCUUUCGAAAGAAAGAUUAAUACCCGAUGGUAUAAUCAGACCGCAUGGUCUUGUUAUUAAAGAAUUUCGGUUAUCGAUGGGGAUGCGUUCCAUUAGGCAGUUGGUGAGGUAGCGGCUCACCAAACCUUCGAUGGAUAGGGGUUCUGAGAGGAAGGUCCCCCACAUUGGAACUGAGACACGGUCCAA
rnacentral:rRNA from 1 species